rnacentral:rRNA from 1 species
UACGAAGGGGGCUAGCGUUGUUCGGAAUCACUGGGCGUAAAGGGCGCGUAGGCGGCUUUAUAAGUCGGGGGUGAAAGCCUGUGGCUCAACCACAGAAUUGCCUUCGAUACUGUAGAGCUUGAGACCGGAAGAGGUAAGUGAAACUGCGAGUGUAGAGGUGAAAUUCGUAGAUAUUCGCAAGAACACCAGUGGCGAAGGCGGCUUACUGGUCCGGUUCUGACGCUGAGGCGCGAAAGCGUGGGGAGCAAACAGG